GGACAGAUGAUUGGGGUGAAGUCGUAACAAGGUAGCCGUAUCGGAAGGUGCGGCUGGAUCACCUCCUUUCUAAGGA
rnacentral:rRNA from 1 species